UACGUAGGGGGCAAGCGUUGUCCGGAAUCAUUGGGCGUAAAGCGCGUGUAGGCGGCCAGAUAAGUCCGCUGUGAAAUCUCGAGGCUCAACUUCGAGCUGUCGGUGGAAACUGUCUGGCUAGAGUCCGGAAGAGGAGAAUGGAAUUCCUGGUGUAGCGGUGAAAUGCGCAGAUAUCAGGAAGAACACCCGUGGCGAAGGCGGUCUCUGGGACGGUACUGACGCUGAGACGCGAAAGCGUGGGGAGCGAACAGG
rnacentral:rRNA from 1 species